CAAUAGCGUAUAUUAAAGUUGUUGCGGUAAAAAAGCUCGUAGUUGGAUUUCUGUUGAGAGCGACCGGUCCAUACCAUGUAUGCGUAUCUGGCUUGCUCUCGGCAUCCUCUCGAUAGACGUUACUGCGCUUGAUUGCGUGGUGCGGAUCUCGGGACUUUUACUUUGAGGAAAUUAGAGUGUUCACGGCAGGCUUUCGCCAGAAUACAUUAGCAUGGAAUAAUACUAUAGGAUCUUGGUUCUAUUCUGUUGGUUUCUAGAAUUGAGAUAAUGAUUAAUAGGGACAAUUGGGGGCAUUCGUAUCAACACGUCAGAGGUGGAAUUCUUGGAUUGUGUUGCGACGAACUACUGCGAAAGCAUUUGCCAAGGAUGUUUUCAUUGA
rnacentral:rRNA from 1 species